rnacentral:rRNA from 2 species
GUAGGGUGCGAGCGUUAAUCGGAAUUACUGGGCGUAAAGCGUGCGCAGGCGGUUAUGUAAGACAGGUGUGAAAUCCCCGGGCUUAACCUGGGAACUGCAUUUGUGACUGCAUAGCUAGAGUACGGUAGAGGGGGAUGGAAUUCCGCGUGUAGCAGUGAAAUGCGUAGAUAUGCGGAGGAACACCGAUGGCGAAGGCAAUCCCCUGGACCUGUACUGACGCUCAUGCACGAAAGCGUGGGGAGCAAACAGGAUUAGAUACCCUGGUAGUCCACGCCCUAAACGAUGUCAACUGGUUGUUGGGUCUUCACUGACUCAGUAACGAAGCUAACGCGUGAAGUUGACCGCCUGGGGAGUACGGCCGCAAGGUUG